rnacentral:rRNA from 1 species
UACGAAGGGGGCUAGCGUUGCUCGGAAUCACUGGGCGUAAAGGGUGCGUAGGCGGUCUGUCGCGUCGGGAGUGAAAACUCAGGGCUUAACCCUGAGCCUGCUUCCGAUACGGGCAGACUAGAGGUAUGCAGGGGAGAACGGAAUUCCUGGUGUAGCGGUGGAAUGCGCAGAUAUCAGGAGGAACACCGGUGGCGAAGGCGGUUCUCUGGGCAUUACCUGACGCUGAGGAGCGAAAGUGUGGGGAGCGGACAGG